UACAGGGGGGGCAAGCGUUGUUCGGAAUUACUGGGCGUAAAGGGUUCGUAGGUGGCCAACUAAGUCAGACGUGAAAUCCCUCAGCUUAACUGGGGAGGGUCACGCGAUACUGCUCGACUUGAAGGCAGGAGAGGGAAGUGGAAUUCCCGGUGUAGUGGUGAAAUGCGUAGAUAUCGGGAGGAACACCAGUGGCGAAGGCGACUUCCUGGCCUGUUCUUGACGCUGAGGCGCGAAAGCUAGGGUAGCAAACGGG
rnacentral:rRNA from 1 species